GUACAGUACAUGAUAGGAAAGUUCAAGGUGUAUUGGCAACAAGAAUUUCCUUUGCUCCACCCUUUCCCCGAACACUUGAAUUUUAUCAAGGACUUGCAAAAUCACCCCUGGAGCUGCCCAGAACGGCAUAUUGAUCAGCACAGUUGCUUGGACAGGUUCUACAAUUCCAGCAUGAAGCACUUUCCCAUCGUGCCCUGUGUUACCAUCACUAUCGUCUUCUUCUGUCUUCGGAGUUCUUUCUUAGCAGAAGCUGCAAGCAGCUCCGGUGGCAUGACAAGAGCAACGCUCAAUGAGACCCAAUGGCCAUGCCCUGAUGUGCAAUUCUGCACAGAAGUGGCUGAGUGCUG